rnacentral:rRNA from 1 species
GUCCACGCCGUAAACUAUGAUUACUCGAUAUUGGCGAUAUACGGUCAGUGUCUAAGCGAAAGUGAUAAGUAAUCCACCUGGGGAGUACGGUCGCAAGAUUGAAACUCAAAGUAAUUGACGGGGGCCCGCACAAGCGGUGGAGCAUGUGGUUUAAUUCGAUGAUACGCGAGGAACCUUACCAGGACUUGAAUGCAUUUUGACAGAUUGAGAAAUCAGUCGUUCUUCGGACAAUUUGCAAGGUGCUGCAUGGCUGUCGU